rnacentral:rRNA from 1 species
UACGUAGGGUGCGAGCGUUGCCCGGAUUUACUGGGCGUAAAGCGUGCGCAGGCGGUCUUGUAAGCCAGAUGUGAAAGCCCCGGGCUCAACCUGGGAACUGCAUUUGGGACUGCAAGGCUGGAGUACGGCAGAGGGAGGUGGAAUUCCACGUGUAGCAGUGAAAUGCGUAGAGAUGUGGAGGAACACCGGUGGCGAAGGCGGCGACCUGGGUAGAUACUGACGCUGAGGCGCGAAAGCGUGGGGAGCAAACAGG